GUCUGCACAGUCGAAGGAGAAACAGACCCACGAGACGAGACGAGGAGUGGGAGACACAGACAAACACUGGGAGAGACAGAGGGGAGGGAGGGGGACAACUGUGAAGUUCAACUUUAAGAGUGUGACACUGGAGGGCAUGAGGAGACCGAGGAAAAGGAGUACAAACUGUUGUCUCAGAGAGGCACUUCACACUUCACAGUAAUUGCGGCAACCUGUUGAUCAGGACAGACGUUCACACGGAGCGACAGUAAAGUGUGCCUGCUAUUCAAAAUGUACUGUAAUGUUGGCACUGGAAUAUUGCCCUGAUCUGUGGUCCGCCACUGUGGACCGGCUCUAUUACAAAGGUCAGACGUAAAUAGUUCCUUUGAAUGGGAUGGCUUUAUUUUUGUCUGUCUGUCUGUCUGUCUGUCUGCUUAUCUGUUUGAUUUAAGGAUUAUAUCUUCCAACCGUCUGAAUGAAUUACUACAUAAUUAGUCCGCCUA